rnacentral:rRNA from 1 species
GAUGAACGCUAGCUACAGGCUUAACACAUGCAAGUCGAGGGGCAGCACAGUGUAGCAAUACGACGGUGGCGACCGGCGCACGGGUGCGUAACGCGUAUCCAACCUUCCCGUUACUCAGGGAUAGCCUUCCGAAAGGGAGAUUAAUACUUGAUGGUGUUGAAAUUCCGCAUGUUAUUUCAACUAAAGAUUUAUCGGUAACGGAUGGGAAUGCGUGACAUUAGGUAGAUGGCGGGGUAACGGCCCACCAUGCCUACGAUGUCUAGGGGUUCUGAGAGGAAGGUCCCCCACACUGGAACUGAGACACGGUCCAGACUCCUACGGGAGGCAGCAGUGAGGAAUAUUGGUCAAUGGUCGGAAGACUGAACCAGCCAAGUAGCGUGAAGGAUGAAGGUUCUAUGGAUUGUAAACUUCUUUUAUACGGGAAUAAAACCUCCCACGUGUGGGAGCUUGUAUGUACCGUAUGAAUAAGCAUCGGCUAACUCCGUG